GCACAAGCAGUGGAGUAUGUGGUUUAAUUCGAAGCAACGCGAAGAACCUUACCAGGUCUUGACAUCCAACUAACGAGAUAGAGAUAUGUCAGGUGCCCUUCGGGGAAAGUUGAGACAGGUGGUGCAUGGUUGUCGUCAGCUCGUGUCGUGAGAUGUUGGGUUAAGUCCCGCAACGAGCGCCAACCCUUGCUAUUAGUUGCUACGCAAGAGCACUCUAAUAGGACUGCCGUUGACAAAACGGAGGAAG
rnacentral:rRNA from 1 species